UCUCCGUAGGUGAACCUGCGGAAGGAUCAUUAAUGAAUUCCAUUUAUUUGGAUUUUAACAAUCCAUCCACCUUAUGUGCACCGUAAUUGUCUCUGGCGGUUUACUUGCAACGUGUGAUUGGGACUUUGGUCCCGGUUUGCGCAUUGUCGGUGGCCGCCGCUGGGAACUUGUUCCCAUUGAUACACUUGUACUUAAUAUUGACUGAUAUGUUUUUAAAUUAAUAAAAACAACUUUUGACAACGGAUCUCUUGGCUCUCACAUCGAUGAAGAACGCAGC
rnacentral:misc_RNA from 1 species